GGCAGCACGGGUAGCAAUCUGGGGUGGCGACCCGGCAAACGGGUGCGGAACACGUACACAACUUACCUUUCGGUGGGGGAUAGCCUUUGGAAACGGAGAUUAAUACCCCAUAAAACAGGGGGCCUGCAUGGGUCUAUUGUUAAAGAUUUAUCGCCGGGAGAUAGGUGUGCGUCUGAUUAGGUAGUUGGUAGGGUAACGGCCUACCAAGCCGACGAUCAGUAACUGGUGUGAGAGCACGACCAGUCACACGGGCACUGAGACACGGGCCCGACUCCUACGGGAGGCAGCAGUAAGGAAUAUUGGUCAAUGGACGGAAGUCUGAACCAGCCAUGCCGCGUGGAGGAUGAAGGUCCUCUGGAUUGUAAACUUCUUUUAUACGGGGCGAAAAAGGGCCAUUCUUGGUCAACUGACGGUACCUGAUGAAUAAGCACCGGCUAACUCUGUGCCAGCAGCCGCGGUAAUACAGAGGGUGCAAGCGUUA
rnacentral:rRNA from 1 species